ensembl:lncRNA
UACUAUUAUUAUUAUUAUUAUUAUUAUUAUUAGGUACCAGGGAUCAAACUCGGAACCUUGUGCUUGCAAGGCAGGGCGCGGAAAUACUGAGCUAAAUCCCCAGCCCAACUAUUAUUAUUACUAUUACUUAGUUUUUUUAAACAGGGUCUCACUAUGUAGUUCACUUCAGACUGUCCUUGAACUCACUGUGUAGCCCAGGCUGGCCUUGAAAUCAUGGCAGUCCUCCUGCCUCAGCCUCAGUGCUGAGAUUAUAGGCAUGCGCCACCACCACCCAGCCCAAGACCUAAUUUAAAAUUUCCAACCUUGCUGAUUAUGUGAAUUUGAGCCAGUUGCUUCAUCUUCUUCAUAAAAUAAAUGGGAGAAACAAUACCAACUUUGUAAAGGGUGGAAUGAGGGAAUGUGAAGGCAGGUUGCAAAAUCUAACCCAUAGCCAGGCACAGUGGCGUGUGGCUCUAAUUCCAGCACUUGGGAGGGUGAGGCAGGAAGAUGCUUUGAGUUCAAGGCCAGCAUGAACUACAUAGACAGUUUUUUAAAAAAAAAUCUAGGAAGAAUGUGGGGGCAGUCACUCAGCCAUGUGCCCCAACUUUAGUGGGUGUCGGCCCAUCGGAUGAGGACAGAGGUUGUGCAUCUUCUCCCUCCUGGCAGGGGCAGCAGGGAGGCCGCCCUGCCCACCCCAUGCCCAUCAUCAUCUCUGUCCCCUCUCAGCAUCUCCAAGGCCACAGCGAUUUUCCUGGUGGAAAGGAGCUGGGCAGUGUGGCUUGGCUGGUGAGGGAGAAGGGGCCUUUAUGUGCACAGCAAAGACUCGAUUGUUAUGAAGCCCAACUGGGCUGCUUUUCUCAAUUAUCUCCACUGCUUUUUUGGUCCCCACUUUUCGGAUGCCAAGUUUUAACCCAGAACAAAAGCUGCUGUCGGGCUGAUUUAUACUCCAGAUCUGCUGACAGGGCCUUAAGUGCCUCUCCAGGACUGCUCCGGCUCAAAGUCACCGGUCACCAGGAGCUUCAGGGCCUCCAGACCCUUGCCUCCAGCCAGGGGCUGCCAUCUGGCUCCAGGUGCCUGUGGGUGACUUCCCUGAGGGUCCUCCGUCCACCUGCUCGGCUCUGAGGACCAGCUGGCCGGAAGGAGGGUUCGCCAGGCAGCACCGCCCAGACCAGGGCUCCAAGUUACUCUAGGAGAAGCUGUGGGCGGAGGCUGGCGUUGGGAAGGUGGCAGUGGUGGCGAUCAGCGUGGCUUUCAGCCUCUUUCAUCUGAGCAGCAGGCUCGUGCCACUUGUUAACCAACCUGCCAGUGGCACCAGAGGAGUCAUUUCCUGGGGGCAGGCUCUGUGUGAAGUCCCAGAAACCAAGAGUCGACUCUCGGUGACCUGGGGGUCUCCCUGGCCUGCCAGGCUAGUUCCGGUGUAAGGCCUUUGGGACCGAGAAAGGAGACAGAAUUGGGGUCCAAGAGACUAACUGGGCCCCCUAACAGAACCCUCGAUUUCCUGCCCUGAGCCCCCCACCCCCGUUCCUGUAAGUGGGGCGUGGAGAGCCACUGAGACCCUAUUCCCGAGCCCGGCCCACCGCAGGUCUCCGGGGGACACGCUGAAGCGACCAGGGCUGCUGGCCUGGAGCUGAGAGCUGGGGUGUGUGCCAUGGCCCCAUAUUGGGCUGUCUGGCUGCUGGCAGCAGGGCUGUGUGGCCUGGGCAUUGGGGCUGAGGUGUGGUGGAACCUUGUGCCCCGAAAAACAGUAUCUUCUGGGGGGUGAGUGUCUGUAUAAAGUCUGGAGAAGGAGGAUGGGAAGGGCAGAAGGGCAGAAGGAUGGAGGCUUGUGGGGAAUAGAUGUUGGCUGCAAAAGAAUUGCCCCCAAGCAUCACUGGCCUUAUUGUGACAUGUGUGGAGCCACUUCUCAAAAAUGCAUCUGGUCCCAUGGACCCAGGACUGGUAGUUCAGGUCAGGACCUAGCUCUCCCUCCCUAGGAUGGCUUUGGGGGACCUCUUUGUCCCCCUAGCCCAGACCUGGCCACCCUGGAAUGAGGGAGAGAGGCUGCACAUUCUCCCAUGUUGGUGCCUAGAAACCUAGAGAAGCCCAAGCCAGGAAGGGUGUAAACCAAAGCCUCUGGCCUGCUAGCCUUCUAGCUGAGUUCCCAGAAGUCCCCUUAUCUACUUGAAUAGACCCUCCUAUUGCCCCCAGGCUCCUGCUCUGGGAGUGGCCCUGGAUAGGUGGGUGUGUGCAAGUGCCCAACCUC